rnacentral:tRNA from 2 species
GCGCCCGUAGCUCAACGGAUAGAGCAUCUGACUACGGAUCAGAAGGUUGGGGGUUCGAAUCCCUCCGGGCGCACUA